GCUGUUUUUAUGUGUUUUCUCCAGGCCGUUAGGGGGCGCAUGUUUGCAAAGUUCGCUAAAUUGAGCCAGUUAAUAAGUAGAAGAAGAAGUGUUACAGGAAGCCAUCUUUCUUUACAUGAGUCAAGAAAUGAACAUGGUGUAUUUCUCAUCUGCACCCAUCCAAUCCUUUCCAUCCCUUUGAGUGGCAAUAUGAGUAAGUCAUAAAGUUGUGUAUGGUGGCUAGAAAUUAUAUAUUUGAUUAUUGUGGUAACCUUGAGAGUUUUGAUAUGUUAUAUGCUCUAAUACAUUGGAGUCCAAUUAGAGUGAGUCAAAUGCUAAGGCUAAAUGUAAGCUAACCCUUUAAAUGUACCUUUUAUAGAAAGUAAAUGUUAUUUGAUUUACUUUGAUGUAUGAUUUACAUACUAAGUACAUUUUUGUAUUUUGUAUUGUUUCAGUUUCACACUUUUUUCGCAUUAAAUCCGUUCAAAUACAACACACGGCUGUUCCUUGGAGGAAGUGAUGCAAGAAAGAGUUUAGCUGGCUGUGAAUCUCAAUAUAGGACCCGCGGUCACAUUGGGUGCAACAGUACAGUGAAAUCAUAGCACUCUGCGAGGGACUACGGGUAGACGCUCUACUACUCAACCAUGGAAAAAUCAGAAGCUAAAGGUCGAAACGAUGAAGAGACAAAUUCAACCCACUCAGCAAAGUUUUCAAGGUCUUCAGGAAAACUGACUGUUAGAUCAGUAGCAACAGGCUCCAGCAGGUCAUCAGCAUCAUCGCGAGCAAGUAUGGCGGCAGCACGAGCACAAGCAGAAGCUCAAGCAGCGAAGGCCAGAUUAGCCUACGCUGAAAAGGAAAUGACAAUCAAAGUAGAAAAAGCCCGUCUAGAAGCAACUCUCGACGUAAUCAAUCUCCAAAAGGAAGCUGAUGCAGCCAUGGCUAAAGCUGAGGUAAUGGAGUCAGCAGCAGCUCAAUUUGACACAGCUGAUGCAGGACAAGAAUUGAGAUUUCUGCCCCUACAAACUACUCCAGAGCAAAAGGUGAGUGAAUACAUAAAUAAACAUAGUUACACUGACCUGGCUGAGGAUAAUAGAGAAACAUUUCAAUAUGAUGACGACACCUAUCAGAACGCAGAAUGCAAACAGCCAAUAGUGUAUACACCUUUUUUCCUAAAACAAGAACCAAUGCAAUACACGUUUGCACCUCAAGAUGCCAAACGACCAUCAAAAAGAGAUGUAAUUCCACAAACCCUCCACAAUGUGUUACAACCACAGCAGGAACAAAACCAAAAUAAAACUGCUGACACCACAACAAGUGACCUUGCCAGAUUUCUAGCUAGAAGUCAACUAUUGACUGGAGGACUGUCUAAAUUUGAUGAUAAGCCAGAAACCUACCUAAGCUGGAAAGCCACAUUCCAGAGUACCAUCAGGGACCUUGGUCUUACAGCCAGUGAGGAAAUGAAUCUACUGAUUAAGUGGCUAGGCACCGAGUCUUCUGAACACGCUAAGAGACUAAAAGCAGUUAACAUAAAGAAUCCACCUGCUGGUUUGUACAUGAUAUGGCAAAGACUAGAAGAGUGUUAUGGCUCUCCAGAAGCAUUAGAAAACUCCCUGUUUGUCAGAAUAGAAAACUUCCCAAAGCUUUCCAGUAAAGAACCACAAAAGCUUCGUGACCUGUCAGAUCUACUGAGUGAACUCCAAGCUGCAAAGCUAGAUGGCUAUUUACCUGGGCUAAGUUACCUUGACACUGCGAGAGGAGUAGGUCCAAUAGUGGAGAAGCUGCCCUUUCCCCUUCAAGAAAAAUGGGCAAUGGUAGGGUCAAAGUUCAAAGAAGAACACAAUGUUAGCUUCCCACCCUUCUCAGUUUUCGUUGAGUUUGUGAAAGGUCAAGCCAAAGCAAGGAAUGACCCAAGUUUCACUACAACAUUCAACACAACUGCACUCUCACAUUCAAAUAACACUGUCAGCUACAGAAAAGGAAAACCAACACAUAACUACAGCCAAAAGCCAUCAGUCAUAGUGCACAAGACAGACAUAUCAUCAGAAGGAUCCAACACAAAAGAAACAGGCAACGACAUUAAAAGACAAUGUCCUAUUCAUCACAAACCACACUCACUUGGGAGAUGCAGAGGUUUCAGAACUAUGCUACUUGAAGACAGGAAAAAGCUGCUAAGAGACAAUAACAUCUGCUACCGCUGCCUUGCUUCUACCAGCCACCAAGCCAGAGACUGUAAUAUUACAAUUAAGUGUGAAGAGUGCAGCAGUGAGAAACACCUGGCAGCUCUUCACCCUGGCCCAGCACCGCGAAUGUCUAAACCUCCCCUAUCCCUUAAAGAGCAAGGCGGGGAGCAAGCAAAUGCACAGGACUCAGAUGUUACUGCCACAUGUACAGAGGUAUGUGGAAAUGCAAUUACAGGAAAAUCCUGUUCUAAGAUCUGCUUGGUGCAAGUCUACCCCAAAGGUCAGCAAACCAACAUCAAACGAAUGUACGCAAUAAUUGAUGAUCAAAGUAACCAAUCUCUUGCAAAGACAGAGUUUUUUGAUGUGUUUGACAUACAAAGUCCAGCUGAACCAUAUACACUAAAAACCUGUAGCGGUGUAACGCAAGUGAAUGGUAGAAGGGCAUGUGACUACAUAGUCCAGUCGUUAGAUGGAAAAAUUAGUUUACCUCUCCCUACACUCAUAGAGUGCAAUGCCAUCCCCAACAAUAGGGAAGAGAUACCCACCACAGAGGCUGCUUCACACCACCACCACCUAAAAGCAAUAGCUGCUGAAAUCCCACCUCUCGACCCAAGUGCAGAUAUAUUGUUACUGAUUGGGCGGAAUCUGCUGAGAGCUCACAAAGUGAGGGAUCAAAUAAAUGGAAGACACAAUGACCCAUUCGCACAGAAGCUUGACCUGGGCUGGGUUAUCAUUGGUGAUGUGUGUCUUGGCAAAGCUCACAAGCCAGGUGAAGUGAAUGUUCUGAAAACACACAUAUUGGAAAACGGUCGCCCAAGCUAUCUCACUCCCUGUGAUAAUCGCUUCAGUGUAAAGGAAGACUUCAGUCUGAGCCAAGCCAAAGCCAUUUCUAAUCAACUGCCAUCCGGUUACUUACACCAAAGGCCCACAGCUGAGAAUUUAGGAGAGACUGUGUUUUGUCGUACCAAUAAAGACAACCAGCUAGCUCAUUCUGCCGAAGACAGGAUAUUUCUAAAGAAGAUGGAGGGAUUCUUCAAAGAUGACACUAACAGCUGGGUUGCACCACUCCCAUUUCGAACUCCCAGACGCAAACUCCCUGACAACCGUUCAUACGCCCACCAGCGGCUCAUGUCUCUACGACGCACACUUGACAAGAAACCCGAAAUGAAGACGCACUUCGUGGAAUUCAUGCAGAAAAUGUUAGACAACCAACAUGCAGAGCUUGCACCGCCUCGCAGCAAAGACAAAGAAGCCUGGUAUCUCCCAAUAUUUGGUGUAUACCAUCCGCAAAAGCCAGGAAAGAUACGCGUGGUGUUUGAUUCAAGCGCGCAGUUUAAUGGAGUGUCCCUCAACGACAUACUGCUUUCUGGCCCAGACCUAAACAACACACUUUUAGGUGUGCUGCUUCGCUUCAGAAAAGAGCCGGUCGCCAUCACAGCUGACAUUGAACAAAUGUUCUAUUGCUUUGUAGUCCAGGAAGAUCACAGAGAUUACCUUCGCUUCCUGUGGUACGAAGAUAAUGACCUUACCAAAGCAGUAGUGGACUAUCAGAUGAGGGUUCACGUCUUUGGUAACAGUCCCUCCCCGGCAGUGGCGAUCUACGGGCUGAGGAUGGCAGCAAGGGAGGCAGAAAGCGAAUAUGGAACUGAUGCACGAAACUUCAUAGAGCAAGACUUCUACGUCGACGACGCAUUAAAGUCUUUCCCAACUGAGGCUGAAGCCAUUGAUGUCCUACAAAGAGCCCAGAAAAUGCUCGCCCUCUCCAAUCUGCGUCUGCACAAGAUUGCUUCCAACAAAGUGCAAGUGGUAAAUGCAUUUCCCCCUGAGGACAGGGCCAAAGAUAUCAAAGAUCUGGAUUUGACGACUGAUGAGAUUCCAGUCCAACGCAGCUUAGGGGUCAGUUGGAACCCCACAUCAGACACAUUUACAUUCCAUGUUCCCCAAGAGCAAAAGCCCUAUACUCGACGCGGUGUGCUUUCAACAAUAAACAGCUUGUUUGAUCCUCUUGGUUUGCUUGCACCUGUUACCAUCAAAGGCAGGCUUCUUCUCAGAGAGCUCUCCAGCAGCAACCUUGAGUGGGACAGUUCCUUACCACAAGACAUGUAUGACAACUGGAGAAGAUGGCGCGACUCAUUACAGAGUCUUACAAGUCUACACAUUCCUCGCACCUAUGUUAUGUUUUCCAUCUCACAAGCCAUCUUCGUUGAACUUUGUGUUUUUUCAGAUGCUUCAGUGAAAGCCAUAGCUGCAGUAGCUUACCUGAAGGUCACACAUGAGGAUGGACACAACGAACUUGGGUUCGUCAUGGGUAAGGCUAAACUGGCUCCCAUUCCAGAGCUCACCAUUCCUCGACUAGAGCUUUGUGCUGCAGUACUUGCUGUUGAGAUGUCAGAGCUCCUCACAGAGGAACUGAAGAUCAAGAUUGACAGGACAACAUUUUACACUGACAGUAAAGUGGUUUUAGGAUACAUCAACAAUCAACACAGAAGGUUUCAUGUAUAUGUGAACAAUCGUGUACAGAGAAUCAAGCAGUCUUCACUACCAGACCAAUGGAGAUAUGUGCCGACAGAACACAAUCCCGCUGAUCAUGGCUCUCGAUCUGUAGCUGCGGAGAAACUUGGUAGUAACUCAUGGUUGUGUGGCCCAGCAUUUCUCCUCAACCACGAGAGCCUCCUUCCAGAAAAGGGUCCAUUUGAACUUGUUGAUCCAGAGUCAGAUGUUGAAGUUAGACACAAUGUGACUGUGCUUAAGACCACAACCGCUCCAGGUGCCUUAGGUUCAUUGCGCUUUGAACGGUUCUCAAAAUGGACUUCUCUCAUAAAAGCAAUAGCCUACCUCAAACACAUAGCUCACAGCUACAAGCCCAAAGAUGGCAGCAGUUGUAGCAGGUGGCACCUGUGUAAGGCAAGUCUCACAGAUGAAGCUUUAUCUCAAGCAGAACACAUAAUUAUCAAAUGUGUCCAGCAGGAAGUCUAUAAAGAGGAGAUAAAAUGCAUCAUGACAAAACGUGCCAUACCACACAGCAGUUCUCUUCACAAACUUAAUCCAAUGAUUGAUGACAAAAACUUACUGCGAGUAGGAGGACGACUUUCAGAGUCCAAAUUGCCAAGUCAUGAAACCAACCCUCUUCUGAUACCAGGAAAGCAUCACAUUGCUACGCUGCUCAUUCGACAUCAUCAUGAAGCUGUCCAGCACCAAGGAAGACACUUCACUGAAGGAGCCGUGAGAGCAAGUGGUUUAUGGAUAGUUGGAGCAAAGAGAUCCAUCAGCAGUGUUAUCCACAAAUGUGUCACCUGCAAAAAGCUUCGAGGCAGAACAGAGCAGCAGAUUAUGGCUGAUUUGCCUGCCGAACGCUUACAAACUGAUCCUCCAUUUUCUUAUGUUGGCCUUGACGUAUUUGGACCGUGGGAGGUUUCAACACGGCGCACAAAAGGUGGUCAAGCUAAUAGUAAGAGAUGGGCAGUCCUGUUCACUUGCAUGUCUACAAGGGCCGUCCAUAUUGAAGUGAUCGAAGCUCUUAGCUCAUCUAGUUUCAUUAACGCUCUUCGCAGAUUUUUUGCAAUCAGAGGCCCUGCUAAACAGUUGAGAUCAGACUGCGGAACCAACUUCAUUGGUGCAUCCAAAGAGUUGAGGCUGGAUCCUCCAAAGCCCAAUGAGGCAACUGUGGAUGACUACCUACGCAAACAGAGGUGUUCUUGGGUAUUCAACGCUCCCCACUCAUCUCAUAUGGGAGGCACCUGGGAACGUAUGAUAGGUGUCUCACGACGCAUUCUAGACUCAAUGCUUCUACAAGCAGGAAACCCUACUCUAACUCACGAGGUCCUGACAACGUUGAUGGCUGAGGUCACGGCUAUUAUCAAUGCGAGGCCCUUGGUACCUGUUUCCUCAGAUCCGGAGGCCCCUUUGAUCCUAACCCCCUCAGCACUGCUCACGCAGAAGUUUAACCCAAUCGAAACUCCACCUGGGGACUUCACAAAAGCCGACAUGUAUAAAAAUCAGUGGAAAAGAGUUCAAGCCCUUGCUGACACAUUCUGGGCCAGAUGGCAGAAAGAAUACCUCAAUAUGCUCCAAAGUCGUCAGAAAUGGCAUCGCAACAAACCAAACUUGAAAGAAGGAGACGUUAUUCUUCUGAAGGACAAGCAACUAAAAAGAAAUGAAUGGCUUAUGGGAAUCAUCACAAAGACCCUUCCGAGCAAAGAUGGAGUUGUCAGGAAGAUGGAAGUGAAGGUUACACGUGGCAAGACUACUAAGACCUUCAACAGACCUAUUUCAGACUGUAUUCUACUUUUAUCUUCAAUGGAGUAGUUUAUAUUGGCAUUCUUAAAAUAAUGCCAGGCGGGGAGUGUGCUGGAGCUGUUUUUAUGUGUUUUCUCCAGGCCGUUAGGGGGCGCAUGUUUGCAAAGUUCGCUAAAUUGAGCCAGUUAAUAAGUAGAAGAAGAAGUGUUACAGGAAGCCAUCUUUCUUUACAUGAGUCAAGAAAUGAACAUGGUGUAUUUCUCAUCUGCACCCAUCCAAUCCUUUCCAUCCCUUUGAGUGGCAAUAUGAUUUCACACUUUUUUCGCAUUAAAUCCGUUCAAAUACAACACACGGCUGUUCCUUGGAGGAAGUGAUGCAAGAAAGAGUUUAGCUGGCUGUGAAUCUCAAUAUAGGACCCGCGGUCAC